AUUGAACGCUGGCGGCAGGCUUAACACAUGCAAGUCGAGCGGGGUGAUGGUGCUUGCACUAUCACUUAGCGGCGGACGGGUGAGCAAUGCUUAGGAAUCUGCCUAUUAGUGGGGGACAACAUCUCGAAAGGGAUGCUAAUACCGCAUACGUCCUACGGGAGAAAGCAGGGGAUCACUUGUGACCUUGCGCUAAUAGAUGAGCCUAAGUCGGAUUAGCUAGUUGGUGGGGUAAAGGCCUACCAAGGCGACGAUCUGUAGCGGGUCUGAGAGGAUGAUCCGCCACACUGGGACUGAGACACGGCCCAGACUCCUACGGGAGGCAGCAGUGGGGAAUAUUGGAUAAUGGGGGGAACCCUGAUCCAGCCAUGCCGCGUGUGUGAAGAAGGCCUUAUGGUUGUAAAGCACUUUAAGCGAGGAGGAGGCUCUUUUGGUUAAUACCCAAGAUGAGUGGACGUUACUCGCAGAAUAAGCACCGGCUAACUCUGUGCCAGCAGCCGCCGUAA
rnacentral:rRNA from 1 species